CGCCUGAAGCCACCAUGCAACCCGGAAGAAAGCCACUGUGGAUCGCUGCCAUGGCAACAGACGCUGUUUUCGGAAAAAAAAAAAAAAAAUAAAAAGCAGAACCAGGAUUACUCAAACAGCUGCCAGAGUCCGGCGUGCGGGUGCUGAGGCCGCGCUCCAGGGCUGGGGGCUGCGCGCUGGGGCUGCCGCUGCGCCGGCUCGGCCGUGGGGGAGGCGGCGCUGGCAGCCACGGCAAGAGGCGGCAGGGGCACCUCGGCGGCAGAGGCACCUCAGCGACAGAGGCAACGCCGACAGCUACUUCUGCAGAGCCAGCCAGACUUCUGCGGGCAUCCCCGGGAGCUGCACGGCGCACGGAGCAGCCCGGGGAACAGCAGCUCGGCGGUGACUGACUUGCGGGGGAGUUGCCCCGCAGAAUCCAGGCAUGUCGGUAACUGAGAACAGAAAGCAGAAUCUCUCUCUCUUUAGUCCUUCUACUCACUUGUGGAUAACUUAAAACUAAAAGAUUGUGUUUUACUAAAAGUUAGCAUGCAAGAAAUUUUAAGAGUUUCCCAGAGAAUGAAUCUUUAUAUAAAAGCUUUAGUGAGUUGCCUUGGUUUUAGUCACAUUUUACCCCUGUAAAGAACUUCUGCCCAAAUUUCGUGUUCAGUCUUAGCAGGAGGAGACAUAAGGUUCACACAAUAGAGAUCAUUUGUUGCUUAGCAACUGGGUGGGACUCAAACCACCUCCAGCAGUUUCUCAGAACUAGGGAGAGAGUAGAACUUAUACACCAAAAACUACAAAUCUGCAAAUAAGAUAAAUGGAAAGCUGGCAGGCUGAGGAUUUCCUUGAUUCUUAGGUAAAACAUCUCUCUAUCUUCCUGUUAUAAACUGAGAAGUUAUUGUGACAGUGGAAAUCACAUCUUUAGAAUUGUAUUUAAAAAGGUUUACUCAGCUGAUUUUAACAUUUGGAUGUUAAUUUACAUUCCUGUCUGAUAUUAUUUCUUUUCCUUGGUCAAGUUUAGUGAAUUCAUUAUUUUUUCCUUUUUUUUUUCUUCUGUGUUUAUGACAGAGUUGCAACUUUGAGUUGCAUUUCAUGUACUGUUUAAGCAAUUGUUAAUAUUCUAUUUAUAACAUAGCAGCAAGUACAUUUUUUUUCAGAUUUUAAUAUAUAUCUUCUGUCGUGGAUUCGUACAGUAUGUACAGAGCAGUUUGGUCAAACAAAACGUAUUAUAUGUUUUUAAAUGUUUUAUAACUGCUGAUAUAGCAUACAGCCUCAUUGCUUUUCUAAAAACACUACUCAGGCACACACUAUGCUGUGAAGUUUGACUUAUCUCUCUUGGCACUGAUGUUAUGUCAACAGUUAUACUACAUGAAUUUCAGAUUAUUUUUAAAAUAACCUAACAAGAUGCAAAAUGUGUGUGUUUACUUUAUACCAAUAAAAGAGCAGAUUGCUAAAUUACACUUUGCAAAACUAUUGAUGCGUGAAUUAGAACUUUUUAUGCCCAUUUGAUUUAUAAAGCAGAAAUGUCUGGAGACCACAUGAUAAUCUGUCAGGAAAUCAGUAGAGAUUGCAAUAAAGCUACUAGAGUCAGGUUGAAUUUAGUAAAAUUUUUCUAGUUUGCCUCCCAAUAUAACGAUCUCAAAGCUAGAUUUAGUUAGCUUUACAUUCGGGAAAUUAAUUAAAACCUGUGAGUGAUUUAGGAUUUUAGUAUAAUGGGUGUGGUUUUUACCUGUUCUGUGCUGUUGUUCCACAAUUAUGGAGUUACAUGUUCUUACAACUAGUUAUUUGUUUUCCUUUGUGCUGCUUAUGUUGUGAAUUUUGUUCUCUUACCGAAAUUUCAUAGAUAAAAGAACUAAAAACACGAGGAGAUGAUGUAGAUCACAUCUAAGGAACUGGCUGCAAGCUGGAAUCUGGCCUUCUAUAUCCUUCUGAACUGCACAUGUAGCUUAAGGCUGAGUAUUAAACAGAAUGAUCAAACAGUA